CCCCUCUAUUCCCUCCCCCCUCUAUUCCCUCACCCUGCCUAUUCAUUCAUUACCCUUUUCUAUUCCCCGUGCAGACAAAUCAAUCCUCCGUGUGCACCUUCACACAAAGCAGGCCCUAUUGACUUUCAUGACUGAAUCUUUCAUCUUUCCCCUGUUUGUUUGUUUGCCCGUCUGUGAGCAAGGUCUUUAUAUUGUGUAACAGAAAUACCUUGUGGAAUAGAGGUGAAACUUACAUGGACUUUUGAAUCAGGGGCAUUUCACACAAACACUCCAUUAUCUUAUUUUUUUAAAGGUGACGUUAGCAUUACUGAUGAUCUUAUUUAUUUAUUUAAAGGUGACGGUAGCAUUACUGAUUAUCUUAUUUAUUUAUUUAAAGGUGACGGUAGCAUUACUGAUUAUCUUAUUUAUUUAUUUAAAGGUGACGUUAGCAUUACUGAUUAUCUUAUUUAUUUUUUUAAAGGUGACGUUAGCAUUACUGAUUAUCUUAUUUUUUUUUAAAGGUGACUGUAGCAUUACUGAUUAUCUUUUUUUUUUAAGGUGACGUUAGCAUUACUGAUUAUCUUAUUUAUUUAUUUAAAGGUGACGUUAGCAUUACUGAUUAUCUUAUUUAUUUAUUUAAAGGUGACGGUAGCAUUACUGAUUAUCUUAUUUAUUUAUUUAAAGGUGACGUUAGCAUUACUGAUUAUCUUAUUUAUUUAUUUAUUUAAAGGUGACGUUAGCAUUACUGAUUAUCUUAUUUAUUUAUUUAAAGGUGACGUUAGCAUUACUGAUUAUCUUAUUUAUUUAUUUAAAGGUGAUGUUAGCAUUACUGAUUAUCUUAUUUAUUUAUUUAAAGGUGACGUUAGCAUUACUGAUUAUCUUAUUUAUUUAAAGGUGACGUUAGCAUUACUGAUUAUCUUAUUUAUUUAUUUAAAGGUGACGUUAGCAUUACUGAUUAUCUUAUUUAUUUAUUUAAAGGUGACGUUAGCAUUACUGAUUAUCUUAUUUAUUUAUUUAUUUAAAGGUGACGUUAGCAUUACUGAUUAUCUUAUUUAUUUAUUUAUUUAAAGGUGACGUUAGCAUUACUGAUUAUCUUAUUUAUUUAAAGGUGACGUUAGCAUUACUGAUUAUCUUAUUUUUUUUAAAGGUGACGUUAGCAUUACUGAUUAUCUUAUUUAUUAUUUUAAUGGUGACGUUAGCAUUACUGAUUAUCUUAUUUUUUUUAAAGGUGACGUUAGCAUUACUGAUUAUCUUAUUUAUUUAUUUAAAGGUGACGUUAGCAUCACUGACGUCACCGUUGCUCCCGGGCCGAUAGUCUGAAAACAUUGUGCCGUCUGACGUUAAGACUAUAUAUUGACAAGCCCUGUAAUCCAUUUGGAAAUAUAAUGAAAUUGAACCCACACAUGUACUGACAUGCUGAUUAACUUCUUGUCUGGUCACAGUAUUCAUUGAAUGAGGCAUAUCUACACUGAACGAGGCAUAUAUCUACACUGAACGAGGCAUAUAUCUACACUGAACGAGGCAUAUAUCUGCACUGUGAAUGAGGCAUAUAUCUACACUGAACGAGGCAUAUAUCUGCACUGUGAAUGAGGCAUAUAUCUACACUGAACGAGGCAUAUAUCUACACUGUGAAUGAGGCAUAUAUCUACACUGAACGAGGCAUAUAUCUACACUGUG
ensembl:lncRNA